rnacentral:rRNA from 1 species
GGGCUCACACAAGCGGUGGAGGAUGUGGCUUAAUUCGAGGCUACGCGAAGAACCUUAUCCUAGUCUUGACAUGCACGGAUUAACUCCUGGAAACAGGAGCCAGGCCUUCGGGUACAACGUGCACAGGUGCUGCAUGGCUGUCGUCAGCUCGUGUCGUGAGAUGUCGGGUUAAGUCCCUUAACGAGCGAAACCCUUGUCACUAGUUGCCAGCGCGUCAUGGCGGGGACUCUAGUGAGACUGCCGGUGUUAAACCGGAGGAAGGUGGGGAUGACGUCAAGUCCUCAUGGCCUUUAUGACUAGGGCUGCACACGUCCUACAAUGCCACGCACAAAGGGAAGCGAACUCGCGAGAGCAAGCAAAUCUCAAAAAUCGUGGCUCAGUUCGGAUUGCAGGCUGCAACUCGCCUGCAUGAAGCCGGAAUCGCUAGUAAUCGCGGGUCAGCAUACCGCGGUGAAUGUGUUCCUGAGCCUU